CGGGGUGUGGCCCAGCGGCUAGGGCGCCUGCUUUGGGAGCAGGAGAUCGCGAGUUCGAGUCUCGCCGCCCCGA
rnacentral:tRNA from 1 species